rnacentral:rRNA from 1 species
AUGUGGGGAGUAAGAGAAGUACUGAUUCCGUCAGUGGAGGAGCUAGUUUUAGUUAACAUGUCCGGGUUGGAGAGAUGUUCCUGCACUUCCUUGGGGGGUCUGUUGUCUAGUUUAAGGGUACUGGAGAUCCGGAAGUGCAGCGCACUCAGGGUGUUUGAUCUGUUCGAGAAAGCUCACAACUCGGAAACUCAGCUUAAGCCAUUGGAUUCUCUACAGCUGCAUUCCUGCACGUCUCUGGAAGAUUUGGGAAUUGAAGACUGUGGAGGGAUCAUCGCAAUAGAGGGCCUUCACCUCGUGAAACUCAGGCAUUUGAAUGUAUGCAAAAAAUCAAUUUUUCGUGGUAUAUCAGGGAAGGGCUAUCACAUAGGAUCUCAACUGGAUCUAUUUAUAAUUAGUGACUUGUCCCUCCUUACCACAUCAAUCUGCAAAGGGCUCACCUGUCUCCAGAGCCUAAUAAUUCAAAAUUUGAAGUGCGAGACCAGGAGACUAACAGAUGAUCAAGAGAGCGCGCUUCUGCUCCACAAGUCCCUUCAAGAGCUAGUGUUUGAUGAUUGUGGGUACCUCGUGCAUCUUCCUGCAGGACUGCGUUGUCUUCCUAUCCUCAAGAAAUUGAAGAUCAUAAGAUGUAGCAGCAUAUUAAGGCUUCUGAAGGAGGAACUCCCACCUUCGCUGGUGGAACUGGAAAUCGACUAUUGCAGCUUUGAGUUGGCAAAACAAUGCAGAUUGCUAUCAACAAGCAAGCUAGAGGUCAUAAUUUAUGAUGACUAUGACCAAGAAGAAACCGAUACUUCCAGCAACUAG